GCUUGGAGGUUCCAAUGGGGCCUCUGCUUAGAGAUCAAGCAGCAUUUAUUUUUACAAGAGCUCAAGACUUACUCGGCCGUUUUGGCCAAGGCACAGUUAGUGGAGAGGAGCCUCCACACCCUUCCUCAGUCAGCAGGGAACCACAGACCCUCAGCUCCACCCCGCAGACCAGCACCUACUGCGCCUGUCCAACAGAACAAGAGGCCUAGACCGGUGAUCCAGGCUCCCCCUCAGGCUCCAGUGGCAGGACGUGGUAAGAUCUGUCAACAUUGCGGCAGGGAUC
rnacentral:lncRNA from 1 species